rnacentral:lncRNA from 1 species
ACAUAUGACGUGAUAAACUGAAAAAUAACAGAAGACUGGCCUUUGCACAAACAAAUACAAAGAAAAUUGAUAGAGUAACAACAAGUAUUUUGCAAACCAACCUCUGUUCGGAUGUUUAGAGGGACAUUGGUAUCUCUAACCCAUCAGGAUUCAGAACUUGGUGCUUGCAUUAUUUCUGGAUUUAUUUCAGGAUUUUCGGUGACAUGCUUUCAGUGGGAGGAGACGUUCCCGUCGACGAUGAGGCACCUACAAUGACUUCUUAUAUCUCAAGAUGAUAUGUCGGUUUGGUCUAUGAGAGGUGCUCGUAGAGGUAGGGUAUGUGUGUAUGCAUUCAUAAGAGUGAGUAUAUGCGCGUGUAUAUGAGCGCUUACGUGUGUAUUGUGUUAAACCUUGAAUUUGUAUUGGUCAGACGGAAUGAACCCCUAAGUCAAAAUCCCGAUCAAUUGUACCCUGAACUAUGCAAUCCCGAUCUAAAUCAAACCCUCUUAUCGUGUCAACUCGGAUUUAUGUGGUAAGCCGGCCCGUUUUAUUUUUUUAGUUCAAAAAAUAUUCCAACAAGCACACACCCUAAUCCUUGGUGAGUUAAUUUUUGGAAAAAG